rnacentral:tRNA from 1 species
CGGGGUGUAGCGCAGUCCGGUUAGCGCACCUGGUUUGGGACCAGGGGGUCGCAGGUUCGAAUCCUGCUACCCCGA